ACAUGACAAUUUGACCUCAAAUCAGGUAGGACUACCCGC
rnacentral:rRNA from 1 species